UACGAAGGGUGCAAGCGUUACUCGGAAUUACUGGGCGUAAAGCGUGCGUAGGUGGUUCGUUAAGUCCGUUGUGAAAGCCCCGAGCUCAACUUGGGAAUUGCAGUGGAUACUGGCGAGCUGGAGUGCGGUAGAGGAAGGUGGAAUUCCCGGUGUAGCGGUGAAAUGCGUAGAGAUCGGGAGGAACACCAGUGGCGAAGGCGGCCUUCUGGACCAGCACUGACACUCAAGCACGAAAGCGUGGGGAGCAAACAGG
rnacentral:rRNA from 1 species